CAUGGCCCAAACUCCUACAGAAGGCAGCCGUGGGGAAUUUUCCCGCCACGGGCGAAAGCCUGACGGAGCAACGG
rnacentral:rRNA from 15 species